CGGUUCUCGUUUCCAGCAGAGCGUGUGAUGUCAUCAUCCAGCUGACCUCGCCGUUUUCCCGCCUCUCUCCGGGUCCUGGGACGCCUGGAGUCCCACGAGAGGUCGACCGCUGGGCUUACGUUACGCCCCUUGCGCGACCACGGCGGUUUAUAUGUGGCUAGCAAGGUUUUCUAGCUUAUGAUUUAUUUUGACAAAAUCUCAGCUGAGCCUCCACAGUUUCUCACCGGCUGUGAAUUGAAAUGUGCUGGAUCUGAGUUCAGGUGGAGCCCUUUAGCCUGAACACUGCCAGUUUAAGACUGUGCGCUGACAGCUAUGUUCGCUAGCUGUGAAAAAGGCUCAUGUCAUUACUAACAGGCGUCUGAAGGAAGGGAACAUAACCCUGCUGUGAUCGGGUGGAACAUAACCCUGCAUAACCAGCCCUUAGCCACUCGCCAACAGUCCACAGGUGAUCACGACCUCGCUGUCACGCAGUUCCCCCUUUGUGUUGGUAAUGCCAGUGUUUCAUCGGUUCGCGCCAUGACGUGAGCUGAGCCGGAGACCGAGGGGGGUUUGGAAACUCAAAAGUGUGGACGUGCUUCUGACGUCGCUCUGACAUAGUCCAUGGGACUGAGGAGCCAUACUUCUGGCUGGCAAGUGGACGCAUUUCAUGGAUGUGUCUGAACAUGUGCUGAAUUGCUUUUUCCAGUUUGAGGAAGGCCCUUUCCUGUUUCAGCAUGACAAUGCCCCCUGGCACCCAGGAAAGUCCAUAUAGAAAUGGGUUUCUCAAGAAGGGUGUGGAAAAACUUAACUGGCCUGCACGGAGCCCUGACCUCAACACCUUUGGGAUCAAUUGGAAAGCCAACUGAGAGCCAGGCCUAAUUGCCUAAUCAGUGCCCGACCUCACUAAUGCUCUUCUGGCUGAAUUGAAGCUUAUAUUAAUGCCAUAUUAAUGCCCCUAAUUGUAAAUGAGUCGUUCGAUGUCACGUGUCCACAUACUUUUGGCCAUUUAGUGUAAUUCUCUUUAUGAAUGGGAAUCCCACUGAGCCAGCGGUCAAAAGCUACAAUUAUUAAAUACCCACAGUGCAAA